ensembl:misc_RNA 7SK 7SK RNA
GGAUGUAAGGGUGAUCUGGCUGCAACAUCUGUCACCCCAUUGAUCGCCAGGGUUCAUUCGGCUGAUCUGGCUGACCAGGUGGGUGUUCUUUUCCUCCCUCACCACUCCUGUGUGUCCCUCCCGAAGCUGCGCACUCAGUUGAAGAGGAUGACCAUCCCCAAUAGAGGAGGACUGUUCUUCGGUCAAGGGUAUACGAGUCGCUGCAUUCCCCUGCUAGAACCUCCAAACAAGCUCUAAAAGUUCUCAGUUUUUUACGCUAUUGGAUAUUUUUUUCUGAUAUUAAAAUUUCAUGUUUUUAGCACACAAAGUAGUGAUAUCAA